rnacentral:misc_RNA from 1 species
GGUGGUAGCCGGUCCCUGUUGUCAAUCUUCUUCUUCGUCGAGCUCUUUCUUGACAGAGAUCCUCUUUGUGAUGCAUCUUUUCCACUCUUGACCUUUUGCUUCCUAGUUGCACUGAAUAUGGCCCGAAAACUGGCAAAGAAUCCCCCCUUUUGCUUCCUUUCCGGUUUUUCCCUUUUAGUCUCGGUUUCGUUAGAUCGUUGCCGAUUCCUUAGUCUCCGAUUUCGAUCUUUCUUUGAUCUCACUCUUCCCAUACAAGAGACCUUAGGCGAAGACGGCUCAAUCAAAGACGAAUCUGAUUUACUGGUGGAAGCAGACCGUUUGGGAAACAACCGCGUGUUUCCUGGUUUACAGUGGCGCCUAGCAUCCACGAAGCAAGACUUCUGUGGCUUUGGCAA